rnacentral:rRNA from 1 species
GACGAACGCUGGCGGCGUGCUUAACACAUGCAAGUCGAACGGAAAGGCCCUGCUUGCAGGGUACUCGAGUGGCGAACGGGUGAGUAACACGUGGGUGAUCUGCCCUGCACUUCGGGAUAAGCCUGGGAAACUGGGUCUAAUACCGGAUAGGAGCCAUUUUUAGUGUGAUGGUUGGAAAGUUUUUUCGGUGUAGGAUGAGCUCGCGGCCUAUCAGCUUGUUGGUGGGGUAAUGGCCUACCAAGGCGGCGACGGGUAGCCGGCCUGAGAGGGUGGACGGCCACAUUGGGACUGAGAAACGGCCCAGACGCCUACGGGAGGCAGAAGUGGGGAAUAUUGCACAAUGGGCGCAAGCCUGAUGCAGCGACGCCGCGUGGGGGAUGACGGCCUUCGGGUUGGAAACUCCGUUCGCUAGGGACGAAGCUUUUUGUGACGGUACCUAGAGAAGAAGCACCGGCUAACUACGUG